rnacentral:rRNA from 1 species
GACGAACGCUGGCGGCGUGCUUAACACAUGCAAGUCGAACGGUGAACUCCGCUUGCGGGGGGAUCAGUGGCGAACGGGUGAGUAACACGUGGGCAACCUGCCCUCAGCUCUGGGAUAACUCCAAGAAAUUGGGGCUAAUACCGGAUAUGACCGCUGACCGCAUGGUCUGGUGGUGGAAAGAUUUAUCGGCUGGGGAUGGGCCCGCGGCCUAUCAGCUUGUUGGUGGGGUAGUGGCCUACCAAGGCGACGACGGGUAGCCGGCCUGAGAGGGUGACCGGCCACACUGGGACUGAGACACGGCCCAGACUCCUACGGGAGGCAGCAGUGGGGAAUAUUGCGCACUGGGCGAAAGCCUGACGCAGCGACGCCGCGUGGGGGAUGACGGCCUUCGGGUUGUAAACCCCUUUCAGCAGGGACGAAGCGAAAGUGACGGUACCUGCAGAAGAAGCACCGGCCAACUACGUG